AUUACCAACUGCAACUCUCACAUGGCCGCCCACUGAAGCUAAGCAGGGCUGCGCCUGGUCAGUACCUGGAUGGGAGACCACAUGGGAAAGCUAGGUUGCUGCUAAGU
rnacentral:rRNA from 1 species